UGGAAGGUCACAGGCAAGGCAGAGCCCUAGCAGACCCAUCCUCUUUGGGUUCCGCCUGUCCUUUGGGAUGAGCAGGAUAGCAGAUCAAAGGCUGAAUAGACAGGCAACUACAAGAAGAUAGCUGAAUCAUACCUGCUGCCAGCACUGGGGCUUAUCUGCCAACUCACCUCCAGACAACAGAAGGGUAAAAAACCCCCCAAAAAAACCAAAACCUGUGCCUGACCUUUCCCAUCUUCCUGAUAAUGUUCACAAAGGACAUCCAGU